rnacentral:rRNA from 1 species
GACGAACGCUGGCGGCGUGCUUAACACAUGCAAGUCGAACGGUGAAGCGAGUGCUUGCACUCGUGGAGCAGUGGCGAACGGGUGAGUAACACGUGAGUAACCUGCCCAUCACUAUGGGAUAAGCACGGGAAACGGUGUCUAAUACUGGAUACGACCAACCCCAGCAAGGGGCGGUGGGGGAAGGAUGUGUCGGUGCUGGAUGGGGGCGCGGCCUAUCAGCUUGUUGGCGGGGUAAUGGCGCACCAAGGCGAGGACGGGUAGCCGGCCUGGGAGGGUGACCGGCCACACUGGGCCUGAGCCACGGCCCAGUCUCCUACGCGACGCAGCGGUGGAGAAUAUUACACAACGGGCGGAGGCCUGAUGCAGCGGCGCCGCGUGGGGUGUGACGGCCUUCGGGUUGUAAUCCUAUUUCAGCAGAGAAGAAGCGAUUGUGACGGUACCUGAAGAAUAAGCGCCGGCUAACUACGUG